UCAGAACAAGGUUUAAGCGUUCCAAAAGGCGGAUUUGUCUCAACUUCGAAGAAAUUUCUGUAAGAUGGAUAUCAUCUAAAGAAUUCAUGAAGCGAACUAAAAAUUCAAAGAGGAACUACACGGACAUAAAAAAUAGAGAUGGGACCAGGUGCCUAGGAGGAGUAAGCAUCCCCUGUUGACCGGUUACACCCGCCGUGCGCUCCUUGUCACAACGGAGCAGGUCAUGAUAGAUGUAGAUGUCAAAAUCGGAAAAUUGUCGUUAUAGGGAAUAAACAAA